UAAACGCACGAACAGGCGCAGUGAAAUUUGAAGGGAGGGGAAAUAAUUCCCCAAAAUUCCGAGGGAAAACCACUCAAAAAAAAAAAAAAAAAAUCCGAGGGAAGAAGGGAACAAUCCGGGGAUGCCGAAGACCUCCUCACCUUCCCCCACCGUCUCCGCCAUGAAUCCCCUCCUCCCCUCCUCCUCCUUCCCCAAAUCCUCGCACCCGCCGGACCCAAACCCUAGCUCCCCGAACCCUAGCCCAAGCAGCUACCUCCUCCACGCCGACGCCGACGACGAGGCGCUGAUCCAAGUCCCCGGCCCGAACCCUAGCCUGGGGGGUGCCUCCGCCCCCCUCGUGCUGCUACCGGCCAUCGAUCCCGCGCCGCACAUCUCCUCGCAGUUCUACACCUUCUCCGCCGCCUCGUACGGGCUCAUGCUGCGGUGCAUCCUCGCGGGCCGCCCCGCCGCCGCCGAGGAGGUCCGCGCCGCCACGUCGCUCUCCGUGCUCGCCUCGUGGCGGACGGUCUGGAAGGACCGGAACGAGGACACCGCCUACCUCACCGCGUGGAAGCGCAUCCAGGACAAGCUCACAGCGUCGCCCGACGGGCGGCACCUCCACUUCAAGUCCAACGCCGCGCAGCGCGUCUCCCAUGUCGGCAUGUGGAGGGACAUAGUCUCGGAGGCCCACGCUGAUCCUGACCUGCUCCGACACCUCGCGCUCAAGGACACCGUCGACCGCAUCAAGCAGUCGUGGACUGUGGGUGCCAAAUUCUACGGUAUUCCGGAAUCAUUUAUCCGUGUUUGUGUUGCUUCAUGCCCCGUCUGUAAGGCUGCACCUGCUGGCCAGCCUGAUUCUGCUAUCUCAUCGCCUGGACGAGGGAAGCGGCGGCGCAGGUUUGAAUAUACCGAGACGCUGGAUGUGCCUGCUCGAGAUGUGCCCCGCAGGUUGCAGCAGUUGGCUGCCAAGCAUAAGGUUGUCCUCUGUAUCAGGCAGAAGUACAUCAGGUAUAAGCCAUUCAUGGCUGAGGUGAAGGAUUAUGCGUGCCACCGUGCUGGAGUGCCAACGUCAAGUGGUGGGAGUGCUGCAUCCUCCUCAGCUAAUAAUUCCGAUGGAAAGAAGCCACGGGUUCUGAAGCGGGAGCCAUACCAAUCAAAGAGGUGUGGUUGUGGGUUCCGUAUUCGGGCAAUUGUGCCGAUAGCCAAUUAUAAUGAAAAGGACAAGAGUUUUGUGUACCAGGAGGAGGGCACUGCUGUGUUCAAGCUUUACGCGGUGCACUCAGGGCAUGAGCCAGGGCCACUCGAUGGCAAUGCCCGAAUUGUUCACAGGUUGGUUGGGCAUAAGGGGACGCUUGACUUCGAUCCAGGCAUUUAUGGGGUCAGUGAGGAAGGGGAUCCUGGCUUUUCGGCAAAGGGGGAUGGAGAUUUUGAUAUUGAUGACUCGCAUCAAGCAGUUUUGCAGCAAGUACAGGAUCUCAGAGCAGAAGUUCUCUCGUUAGAAGGGAAGGUGGCUAAGAUGCACCCAGAUCUGUUGGGCUCACUGUCCACCGAGCUAUCUGAGGUUUUGCAAAGGAUAAGGAAGUUUAAUUUGGAAGGUAACGUCUACCAGCCGGAGGAGACGUUGAUGAUAGGCAAUGAGGAGGUUGGGGGAUGGGGGGCUGGUGAUGUGCCCCACCAUUUAGACCAGCAUGAUGGUGCAUUCUGCAAGGAUGAUGAGAUGCUUGAUGACGAUGAUACUGAUUUUGGCUCAAGCCUUGGCCCUAUUGUCUCGUGGGACAGGAUGGCAGCAGAGUGCGAGGAUAGAAAGAUGCUCAUGGGUGAUAGUCCAAAGUGUGACAAGUGGAUGCUGAAGGAGGAUGUGGGUGACUUUGAUGCGAAGAGUAUUCUUAACUGUGGGGAUGAUGAUGAUGUAGAGGAUUCCAAGAUUAUUAAACCAUUGAUGCAUGAUGAUGCCAUGGUAGCUGACCCAAGUUUGGUAGGUAUUCAUGUAGAAGGAUUUUACUCUGGAGCAAAGUGGUAUGAUUCGCCGGUAGGUUUGGAUUCCAGUGUUAAUGCAGGAGAUGCAAGUUUUAGGCAUGGUGGACUCUUGUGAGAUCAGUGAUUCUACCCUGAUACCAGGAGGGUCUUGUAAAUUCUGUAUAGUAGGAAGUCAUUAGCUCGCAACAAUUUAAUGUAGUGUCUGUAGAUGAAGCUUCAGUCAAAGCAACCUGUCUGCCCUGAUAUAUACAAGUUCAGUUUGAGGUGUGCAGCCUUUCAGCUUAUUGGCAUGCACUGGUGUCUGAUUGCAUACCAUCAGUUUGAGGUUAGAACUCAUUUCAUUCUGUCUUUUCACAUUUUACAGAAUGUAGUUAUUUAUAGGCUAUAUGUUCAAGUUAGCAGGUAUUACUGGUGCUCAUGAUUUGGGCCGAAGUACAGCUAAGAAGCAGGCAAAACCAAUGCUAGAAAUGGAGCUAGUGUGAUAUGGAUGAACAAUUGAGCGUAAUAUAGGGCCUGUUUGGCUAAGCUUCAGGUCCAAGAAUAUUUGGAGCUGGGUAUUCCUAGCUCCAGAAAUUCUUAGAGGUAGAGCUGGGGACAAACUAGGGAUGUUUGAGUGAGCUAUAUUCUUCACAUUUUAGACUAACAAUAAAGGCAUAAACCACUUUAUUUUACAAACUCUAGAUCCAGCAUGAAUCCUAGAGUUGGAGCCAAACAAGCCCAUAGUAUACUGAUCCUUGAUUUUUUUUUCUAUUUCUUAUAGGAUUUGACUGGAUACGUGAUUUUCAGGGAGAGAGUCCAUAACCAUACUUCAAACUUAUUCUUGAGUUAUUUGAAGUGUCAUGUUGAGUGAAUAUAGCAUUAAGAUGCUAAAGUGAACAUCUUGAGAUAACUUUAUGUGAUAUGUAAUAUGUUCUAUGCUUUGCUAGUUAUGGUGUGCUUAUUAACCCAAUUUGGCACUUGGACUGGAUUUUUAUCAGUUUUUGUACAGCAUAACCAUGGAUGCUCCUUACAACUCACCGUUAGAAUGAUGUAAUUCCCCCCCCCCCCCAUCAUU